rnacentral:rRNA from 1 species
GCUAGCGGCAGGCUUAAUACAUGCAAGUCGUACGGGAUCCGAGGUAGCAAUACUUUGGUGAGAGUGGCGCACGGGUGCGUAACACGUAUGCAACCUACCUAUAACCGGGACACAACCCACCGAAAGGUGAGCUAAUAUCCCAUAACACUGCGAGAUGGCAUCAUUUUGCAGUUAAAACUCCGGUGGUUACAGAUGGGCAUGCGCGACAUUAGCUAGUUGGUGAGGUAACGGCCCACCAAGGCUACGAUGUCUAGGGGUUCUGAGAGGAUUAUCCCCCACACUGGUACUGAGACACGGACCAGACUCCUACGGGAGGCAGCAGUAAGGAAUAUUGGUCAAUGGGCGCAAGCCUGAACCAGCCAUGCCGCGUGAAGGAUGACGGCCCUAUGGGUUGUAAACUUCUUUUGUACGGGAAAAAACCACAGGUCGAGUAUCUGUGCUGAUGGUACCGUAAGAAUAAGCAUCGGCUAACUCCGUGCCAGCAGCCGCGGUAAUACGGAGGAUGCAAGCGUUAUCCGGAUUCAUUGGGUUUAAAGGGUGCGCAGGCGGAAUAAUAAGUCAGUGGUGAAAGCCUACAGCUUAACUGUAGAACUGCCAUUGAUACUGUCAUUCUUGAGUAUUGUUGAGGUAGGCGGAAUGUGUCAUGUAGCGGUGAAAUGCUUAGAUAUGACACAGAACACCGAUCGCGAAGGCAGCUUACCAAGCAAUAACUGACGCUCAUGCACGAAAGCGUGGGGAUCAAACAGGAUUAGAUACCCUGGUAGUCCACGCCGUAAACGAUGUUCACUCGAUGUUGGCGAUACACAGUCAGCGUCUUAGGGAAACUAUUAAGUGAUCCACCUGGGGAGUACGGUCGCAAGAUUGAAACUCAAAGAAUUGACCGGGG